AUACCCUAUUAUUUUUAUUGUAAAAUUUUAAGUCAGAGUAUUAAUAGAUAUGGUCUUUAAACUUAAAGAAUUUGGCGGUAUUAUAGUCUAUUUAGAGGAAUCUGUUAUAUAAUCGAUAAUCCACGUUGAACCUUACUUAUAUAAAUUCUUGUAUACCGCUGUUUAAGAAUAUACUUUUAGGUAAAUUUUCAAGAUAUAAUAAUAAUUAAAAUUUCAAGUCAAGGUGCAGUUAUAUAUAAGUUGAAUAAUGGAUUACAAUAAAUUUUAUUUAUUAUGGAUUAUUAUUGAAUAAAUAAUAUAAAGGUGGAUUUAAUUGUAAUUUUAUAAAGAUUAUUAAAAUGAUUUAUAGCUCUAUAGUAUGUACACAUCGCCC
rnacentral:rRNA from 1 species